UCAUCAGUGAGGUACAUCAUUACCUGUUGCCUUAUCACUAAGGCUGCAGAACAAUGACUGGAUUCAGAGUGCGUGAUUAUAAUCCGCAUUUAUCAAGGAACUAUCUGAU